rnacentral:lncRNA from 1 species
AAAAUAUUAACUUAAAAGACAGUUGUUUGUUAGUGAACUAGAAAAUAACUGUAGUUCAGACUAGCUACUUAGAAUAUACCCCAGAUGAUGGUCUGGGACGUGCUGUCAGUAAAGUGUAUGAUGUGCAGCUUGAGGACCUGAGGUCCAUCUUCAGAACCUAUGGGGAAAGGCUUAGUAUGGUGGUGUGUACUUGUAAUACACGUGCUAGAAAACCAAGGCUGGAAGAUCCCUAAGGUUAUUGGCCAGCAGAUUAACCUCAUUGAAUCAUUGAGCCCAAGUUCCCAAUGAGAAAACCUCUAAAACAAUAAAGUGGAGAGUUGUCCUAAUUAGGGUUUUUUUCUGUUGCUGUUAUGAAACAUGAUGGCUAAAAGCAACUCGAAGAGGAAAGGGAUUAUUUAUUUGGCUUACACUUCCACAUUGUCCUUCAUUAUUGAAGGAAUUCAGGACAGGAACUUAAGCAGGGCAGGAACCUGGAGGCAGUAGCUGAUGCAGAAGCAAUGGAGGGGUACUGCCUACUGGCUUCCUCCCCUUGGCUUGCUCAGCCUGCUUUCUUAUAAACCUGUGACUACCAGUCCAGGGAUAGCAUCACCCACAAUGGCCUGGGCACUCCUCCAUCAGUCACUAAUUUAAAAAAUGCCUUAUAGCUGAAUCUCUUAGAGGCAUUUUCUCAAUUGAAAUUUCUUCCUUUUUGAUAAUCCUAGCUUGCAUCAAGUUGACAUAAAACUGGCGAGCACAAGAGUUAAUAAUAACUACAUUUUAUGUCUAACUCUGGCUUAUACACACACACACACACACACACACACACACACACACACUUACAUACAUGUACUGCAAGAGCAUGACAAAUGUGCAGACAGAUGCACUAAAGAAUAUUGUCCUACUAGGCAUGGUGGUAUACCCUUUAAUCCCAGCACUCAGUUGGUUGAGGCAAGUAGAUCUCUUGAGUUCCAGGCCAGCCUGGUUUACAGAGCGAGUUCCAGGACAGCCAGGGUUACAGAAAGAAACCUUGUCUUGGAAAAAAAAACAAAAAAACAAAAACCAACAAAAAUAAUUGCUUAAUGAAAUGAAGUUUGGACUAAAAUCCAAGGUUUUUUUUAAAAAUUUUUUCUUAUUUUUGGUUUGUUUUACUUUUCAUUGUGUUGCUCAGCUUGCUUUGACUUUUUUUACCUAUUUCUAGUAACUGAGAUUAGAGAUGGCAUAUUAUGCCAAAUGACUUUUUUAAAUAUCAAAUAAAUUCAGGUUUCUCACUAAGAGAGAUGAGUAUUUCAACAGUGACUUUGAAACAUAAAGAUUUUCAUUGAGGACAUAAAAGAAAGUAUCUUGUUAAGGGCUUACUUCAUGCAUUUUCUCGGCAAACAGGCCUUCUCAUCUGUCUGUAGCACAAGAUGUGACCUAAGGUGUGGAAAGGCAAGGACAGCAAUAGAAGUGUUUCACAGUUGUAUUGAUGGCCUGGGGUGUGGGACUUAAAAAGAUUCCCUUUUCUCUGUACUGCUCUCCGUCAACAGUAAAUCAUUAAGGAAAGUGAGACAUAUUUAGAAAGUGGUUAACUGUUUGUAAUUCCAGCACACAGGAGGCUGAGGUGGGAAAGUUAUAAAUUUGAAGUCCGUUUUGAUUAUUUAACAAGGUACUAUCUCAAAUAACAAACAAUUGUAUACUUGUGGGAUUUAGUUUUGUCCUGGCUUGAACCCAGGACAUACCUCUGAAAUAAUCUUCCAGAGGAUCCAGGUUUAAUUCCCGUCAUCCACAUGUUAAGCUCACAGCUGUCUGUAACUCCAAGAUAUGAUACCCCAACACAGACAUACAUGUGUUCAAAAUACCGAUGCUCAUACAAUAAAGAUAAAUAAUUAAAGAAAU